rnacentral:rRNA from 1 species
CUGCUCAGGACGAACGCUGGCGGCGUGCCUAAUACAUGCAAGUAGAACGCUGAGGUUUGGUGUUUACACUAGACUGAUGAGUUGCGAACGGGUGAGUAACGCGUAGGUAACCUGCCUCAUAGCGGGGGAUAACUAUUGGAAACGAUAGCUAAUACCGCAUAAGAGUAAUUAACACAUGUUAGUUAUUUAAAAGGAGCAAUUGCUUCACUGUGAGAUGGACCUGCGUUGUAUUAGCUAGUUGGUGAGGUAAAGGCUCACCAAGGCGACGAUACAUAGCCGACCUGAGAGGGUGAUCGGCCACACUGGGACUGAGACACGGCCCAGACUCCUACGGGAGGCAGCAGUAGGGAAUCUUCGGCAAUGGACGGAAGUCUGACCGAGCAACGCCGCGUGAGUGAAGAAGGUUUUCGGAUCGUAAAGCUCUGUUGUUAGAGAAGAACGUUGGUAGGAGUGGAAAAUCUACCAAGUGACGGUAACUAACCAGAAAGGGACGGCUAACUACGUGCCAGCAGCCGCGGUAAUACGUAGGUCCCGAGCGUUGUCCGGAUUUAUUGGGCGUAAAGCGAGCGCAGGCGGUUCUUUAAGUCUGAAGUUAAAGGCAGUGGCUUAACCAUUGUACGCUUUGGAAACUGGAGGACUUGAGUGCAGAAGGGGAGAGUGGAAUUCCAUGUGUAGCGGUGAAAUGCGUAGAUAUAUGGAGGAACACCGGUGGCGAAAGCGGCUCUCUGGUCUGUAACUGACGCUGAGGCUCGAAAGCGUGGGGAGCAAACAGGAUUAGAUACCCUGGUAGUCCACGCCGUAAACGAUGAGUGCUAGGUGUUAGGCCCUUUCCGGGGCUUAGUGCCGCAGCUAACGCAUUAAGCACUCCGCCUGGGGAGUACGACCGCAAGGUUGAAACUCAAUGAA